GGGACAACCUCCGUGAUCUUUUCUGUUUCUGUUAACAAGGAAAGCGCAGUGGGAGCUGAAUCAGAAAUGUGAGUGAUGUCCACUGCAAGCCUUUAAGAGUGUCAACUGUAUUUCCCACCUCUCUUGUUGGACACGACUGCACAAUCAGGAGGCCCAGAAGCUGAGCCAGGCACCGAAUUGUUAGAUCUGGAAAGAUUUCUCCACUGCCAGCUGCUUGGAGACUAAGUUCCAGGAGACUGAGUUUCCCCAUGAAUCAUUGCCUGAACCAAGGAACUUGUUUCUGAGCACAAAACCUCAGGAUAUUUUAAUGGGUAACUUAUUUAAUAAAUAUCCUUGAGACGUUAUUAUACUCCAGAAUGAACUUAAGUGGAAAAAAAGACCUCAUCUAAACUGAAGCCUACAGUCUCCAAAGUCUACAGCCAUCCAGAGCCGGAAUUACACAUUAAGAAAAUUAUCAGCCCUAAAAAAGCAAAUCCCUCUCAAUCCCCUAAAAAUCAGAUGUUUCCAGAACUGGGAUUUGGGAUGGAGGCCACCUCCCAUUGGAAGAUUUAGAACAAAAGGCAGGGAUAAGUUCACUAAAACAGAAAGUAGUAAUGCAAAAGUAAAAAAAAAAAAAAAAAAAAAAAAAAAAGAAAAUGUAUGUUAGAUAUAAGGGGAAGAAAAAGAUCACAAUUUCAGACAGGAAAGCAGUGAAUGAAGGACAGAAGGAAACCUCUGUGCUCGCAUAAUUAGAAAUUACUGAAGAUUUCUACAGUGAGGAACAACCCAGUACUAAUAAGGCAGGACUGUGUCAAAACCUUUAUCAUUUUGCAGGUGUUUCUCAACACCAGGCAGGACGAGGCACUGUGCAGACUAUUAGAGCUGAUCUAAUCAUAAUUGAUAUUCCACAAAAAAAAAAAAAAAAAAAUCGGUGUUGUUUUUUAUAGGUCAUAAGAAUUAAAUUUAAGCAGCAGGUACAAAAGCAAAGAGAAAUUGGUGAGGAAGGAUUAUUCCAACACUUGCUUGAAACAUUUAUGUAGUCAUCAGAGCCAGAAAACGCUCCGUUCUCAUGCUUUCCCUCCCAUACGUUAUCAGUUCAGUUGCUGUGAACAAAUUAAUAGUGAUGUACAGUGCCCUGCACUAUUAUCCACUGGAAAACAGAGCAGUCCAAAUUUGAAUAUUGUGAACUGAAGCACAUGAGAAGAAUAAUGCUUCGUUUCAUUGCCUACACAUUCUACUUUUGAUUCCCAAGAACGUCUAUGCAUCCUGCGGCAUCCUCGCUCGCUUUCUCUCACACACAUGCACACACACACUCAUACUUA